rnacentral:rRNA from 1 species
GAUGAACGCUGGCGGCGUGCUUAACACAUGCAAGUCGAACGGUGAAGCAGGAGCUUGCUCUUGUGGAUCAGUGGCGAACGGGUGAGUAACACGUGAGCAACCCGCCCCUGACUCUGGGAUAAGCGCUGGAAACGGCGUCUAAUACUGGAUAUGUGAUGUGACCGCAUGGUCUGCAUCUGGAAAGAAUUUCGGUUGGGGAUGGGCUCGCGGCCUAUCAGCUUGUUGGUGAGGUAAUGGCUCACCAAGGCGUCGACGGGUAGCCGGCCUGAGAGGGUGACCGGCCACACUGGGACUGAGACACGGCCCAGACUCCUACGGGAGGCAGCAGUGGGGAAUAUUGCACAAUGGGCGGAAGCCUGAUGCGGCAACGCCGCGUGAGGGAUGACGGCCUUCGGGUUGUAAACCUCUUUUAGCAGGGAAGAAGCGAAAGUGACGGUACCUGCAGAAAAAGCACCGGCUAACUACGUGCCAGCCGCCGCGGUAA